rfam:Triticum aestivum genome assembly, contig: Triticum_aestivum_CS42_TGACv1_scaffold_327936_4BS
UUGCUACUUCCUCCGUCCGAAAAUACUUGUCGCGGAAAUGGGUAUAAAUGAAUGCAUCUAAAACUAAAAUGCAUCUAGAUACAUCUAUUCCUCCGACAAGUAUUUCCGGACGGAGGGAGUACUUA